rnacentral:rRNA from 1 species
AUUGAACGCUGGCGGCAUGCCUAACACAUGCAAGUCGAACGGUAACAGGAAGACGCUUGCUUCUUUGCUGACGAGUGGCGGACGGGUGUGUAAUGUCUGGGAAACUGCUUUAUGGAGGGGAAUAACUACUGGAAACGGUAGCUAAUACCGCAUAACUUCUCAAGACCAAAGAGGGGUACCUUCGGGCCUCUUUCCAUCGGAUGUGCCCAGAUGGGAUUAGCUAGUAGGUGGGGUAACGGCUCACCUAGGCGACGAUCCCUAGCUGGUCUGAGAGGAUGACCAGCCACACUGGAACUGAGACACGGUCCAGACUCCUACGGGAGGCAGCAGUGGGGAAUAUUGCACAAUGGGCGAAAGCCUGAUGCAGCCAUGCCGCGUGUAUGAAGAAGGCCUUCGGGUUGUAAAGUACUUUUAGCGGGGAGGAAGGGAGUAAAGUUAAUACCUUUGCUCAUUGACGUUACCCGCAGAAGAAGCACCGGCUAACUACGUG